UCUCUGGUGGUCCAGUGGUUAGGACUUGGUGUUUUCACUGCUGCGGACCUGGGUUCAAUCCCUGGUCUGGGAA
rnacentral:tRNA from 1 species